rnacentral:rRNA from 1 species
UUNGAAAUUUGGGGAACACUAAUUAGUCGGUCGGGUUGUUACCGGUACGUACGGUCGACUUACGUUGGGUUUUCUCCUUUUCUGAAGAACCAUGAUGUCAUUUAUUUGGUGUCGUGGGGAAAUCAGGACUGUUACUUUGAAAAAUUAGAGUGUUUAAAGCAGGCUCACGCUUGAUACAUUAGCAUGGAAUAAUGAAAUAGGACGUUUGAUUCUAUUUUGUUGGUUUCUAGGAUCGACGUAAUGAUUAAUAGGGAUAGUUGGGGGCAUUAGUAUUCAAUUGUCAGAGGUGAAAUUCUUGGAUUUAUUGAAGACUAACUACUGCGAAAGCAUUUGCCAAGGAUGUUUUCAUUAAUCAAGAACGAAAGUUAGGGGAUCGAAGACGAUCAGAUACCGUCGUAGUCUUAACCAUAAACUAUGCCGACUAGGGAUCGGAUGAUGUUAAUUUUUAAUGACUC